UAUUAAUGCAACGCCGAAAUCCACAACUGUGCCAGCGGAUAUCAUUUUCCAACAAACAGUUCCACAAACGUAUGAUUUUAUUUGAUUCUUAAAGAUCAAUAUCUACUUAGAAUUUAUACCUUUGAAUGAGGCCUCUUUACUUUUUAAAAUGAUUAAGAGUAGAAAUAAAUUUAAAAGAGAUCAAUUUGGAGAGUUGUCAACAGUGACAUUACUGGUCAGAUGAGUGACCCAGCCUGCAAAAUGUUCAAAGGAAGCUGUAUUUAGGGUGGAUCGCAUUUAGAAAGCAAAGCAAAACAAAGCUGUCAGUAAGACAGAGCAGUAUGGUAAAUUACACAGACUAGCACCGUUAGUGACCAAACGUGUGGGUUCCGCCUCCACUCAUCACCCGUUCACACUGUGUAUGAACCCUUGAUGACUUGGGCCUGAGGCCACCGACCCUCCGUUUAGCAGCAGAGGACUAUUUUCCCGGUUCAGCGCCGCUGGUACAUCCAUCAGCGGUCAGCUUCCUCACUCAUUCCUUCGUACCUUGUUCUCCUCGCUCCUCGCCAGCACAAGCAGACACAGCAGCAACCAGAGGGACAGAACAAUACUACAGCCACAAGCGCCCGCCAUCUCACCACCCAGCGCUCCCUUCCUCGUUGUCGGGGCUCCCUCUCCUGGAGACAGCGUUUCCCUGGUAACCGACUGGCGAGUACGAGAUCAAUGCCUGAGGCCUAGUCCGUCGGUGUGUCUGAGGAGGGAAGACCGGACAGCAUUUUGUCUUCAAGAACAUGUACUGCCUAUUUUUUUAUUUUUAUCUCUUCUUUAUUGUUAAAGCUUUCUCCUCUCUCAUCAUCUUUCCUGCUCAUGGAGCUGGAUCUGAGCUACAGCAUCAACAAUGUCAAAUACCCUCCAGUACCAGAACUAAAGGAACAUCAUUUGAACCAUGACAUUGCAUACCAGCAAAUCAUUGAAGCGUGAAAAAUACCACAGUUCAGCCUUUCCUGUUCUCAGCGAACUUUGUUUUAACCAGCACCUUAUGAACUGGAACUCUCGAUAAACUGCCAACAAUUCUAUACCUCAAAGACCAGAAGUUUACUGUAUUUUCGCAAUGCUCACGCAGUCAGUCGAGGGCCCAAAUGAGAAGGCCCU